rnacentral:lncRNA from 1 species
CUCUCUGAUGCUGGAACUUACUACUGUGCUGUAGCUGCAUGUGGACACAUCAUCUUUGGAGAUGGAACCAAACUGGACUUUGCAGAGAACAGUGUUUUGGAACCAACCAACAUACUUCUGUUUUUGGUGGCAUCAAACAUCAUAUCAGUGGCCGCACUUUUAUUUAUGUGCAGAAAACAGAACUGUCACUGUAACGAUGCUGCUGAGGGUCGCAAAGUUCUGGUGAUUUCUUAAUUUUUUUUUUCUCCUUUCCGCUACAGUCCAAUAUCUCCAAUAUCUACUACUUAAUGUAUGUUCAUGCAACUGUCUGCUUUGGAAAUAUAAUUCUUAUUUUAAUUAAAUUCUGUUUAUUUUUUACAGGCUGAAUGUACUAAAGCUGUGAAGUUUGCUGCGGGGAGUUUUGCCAGUGAACCAAAGAAGAUGACUGAAGGUUCUGAAGUUUAUUCCCAUGUCAUUUAUUACCAACAAAACUGAAUUUUGUAAUCCUUACAAAACAUUUUCUGCCUUAAAGGAGAACUCUGGUGUAAAAUAGACUUUUAGUGUAAUAAAACAUAAUGAAUAGCCCA